UACGAAGGGGCUAGCGUUGCUCGGAAUCAUGUACGUGGGCGUAAAGGGUGCGUAGGCGGGUCUUUAAGUCAAGGGGUGAAAUCCUGGAGCUCAACUCCAGAACUCGCCUUUGAAUACGUGAAGAUCUUGAGUUCGGGAGAGGUGAGUGGAACUGCGAGUGUAGAGGUGAAAUUCGUAGAUAUUCGCAAGAACACCAGUGGCGAAGGCGGCUCACUGGCCCGAUACUGACGCUGAGGCA
rnacentral:rRNA from 1 species